rnacentral:rRNA from 1 species
GUGAGGAAUUUUCCGCAAUGGGCGAAAGCCUGACGGAGCAAUGCCGCGUGAAGGAUGAAGGCCUAUGGGUUGUAAACUUCUUUUCUCAGAAAAGAAUUAUGACGGUAUCUGAGGAAUAAGCAUCGGCUAACUCUGUGCCAGCAGCCGCGGUAAGACAGAGGAUGCAAGCGUUAUCCGGCAUGAUUGGGCGUAAAGCGUCUGUAGGUUGUUUAAAAAGUAUUCUGUCAAAGAUUAGGGCUUAACCCUAGAUAGGCAGAAUAAACUUUUAAGCUAGAGUUUGGUAGAGGCAGAGGGAAUUUCCGGUGGAGCGGUGAAAUGCGUAGAUAUCGGGAGGAACACCAAAGGCGAAGGCACUCUGCUGGGCCAAUACUAACACUGAGAGACGAAAGCGAGGGGAGCAAAUGGGAUUAGAAACCCCUGUAGUCC